CACUAGAUGACUUGGGAGCAGCCAUUCUCAUUCAAUCACACCAUAGCAUUUUGGUAGAGAAUUAUUUAUAUUUAUAAGUAAGAAAUCCCAUAUACUCCAUCCUGACUACUGGAGGAAAGGUGGAAUAAAAUAAAAAGAGUUUCCAAGAAAAAGCCCAGAGAGGUCCACCAUCUUCCACCCCAGAGAAAUUUAUCAAGGAGUAUGAAAAAAGAGAGAUCUAAAGUAAAUUAUCAAAGCUGCAUGUCUCAAGAGAUUUGUUGUUUCUUCUUUGAAAGCUUGCAGCUCUUGGACUAGAUAUAAUGGAUCGUUUUGGCUGUAAGAUCUUGGACUGCAGAAUACCAGCUCUUCUUGGUAGUAUUUAAGCCACAGGAGUACUAAAAGUCACAGUUGUAUCAAAAGAGCUAUAUGAAGUCUAAUAAAAUAAAGCAAAACAAGCAAUAUAUAUUUUGACCUUGAGGCUAACAGAAAAUGAUGCCACUUACCCUCUACCAAAGCAGAUUUUGCUAUAUUGCCUUGCCUGAUGCCAUGCUGGAACAUUUCCUGCAGAUUUGCAGCAGCUUGAAGAUUCUUCUGGGCACUGAAAUCUUUGAACUUAGGGCAGCAUAAAAAAGAAAAGAAAGAAUCAAGAUAUAAUCCUUUUAGCCAACUGUCAAAACUGAUAAAUAAAAUAAGUCUGAGCCAAAGUGUUAUUAUUGGAUUCCAGUAAGAACAAAGAAACAAAACAAGAACUCAAAAGGAAGGACAAGAAGCAACUUCUACUCUGAUUUAACUUCAGAUUUCCUCACAUAGCCAUAUCCAGUUGGCUGUGUGAUGCCACGAUGUCAGUUCAGACUAAAGGAAUGAACACAUUUUUAUUCAGGCAUCUUACUGAUUUCAGCUGAAAUUAUUUUAAAAUAACGUUCAAUAGCAAUAGGAGGCACAAUCAUUGCCCAUUACUAGGGCUGAUGAUAAAAGAUGAAAAAGAUAAGUGGAAAACACUCAUUCUAAUCUAGAUGUUGAAAAUUAUGGUGAUGAUAAAUAAAUAAAUACAUCAUCAACAAAUGUGCAGCUCAGUCUGUAAAUAUA